rnacentral:rRNA from 1 species
AUACGGAGGGUGCAAGCGUUGUCCGGAUUUAUUGGGUUUAAAGGGUGCGUAGGUGGUUUUUUAAGUCAGUGGUGAAAGCCUACAGCUUAACUGUAGAGGUGCCAUUGAAACUGGAAGACUUGAGUAUGGACGAGGUAGGCGGAAUUUGUGGUGUAGCGGUGAAAUGCAUAGAUACCACAAAGAACACCGAUAGCGAAGGCAGCUUACUAGGCCAUAACUGACACUGAGGCACGAAAGUGUGGGGAGCGAACAGGAUUAGAAACCCCGGUAGUCC